ACGUAGGGUGCAAGCGUUAAUCGGAAUUACUGGGCGUAAAGCGUACGCAGGUGGUUGGUUAAGUCAGAUGUGAAAUCCCCGGGCUCAACCUGGGAACUGCAUUUGUAACUGCCUAGCUAGAGUUUGUCAGAGGGGGGUGGAAUUCCACGUGUAGCGGUGAAAUGCGUAGAGAUGUGGAGGAACACCGAUGGCGAAGGCAGCCCCCUGGGACAUGACUGACGCUCAGGUACGAAAGCGUGGGGAGCAAACAG
rnacentral:rRNA from 1 species